ensembl:lncRNA TPTE2-AS1 TPTE2 antisense RNA 1
GAGAUCAGACAGAAGCGGAAGUGGUUUCGUGCCCUUCAAGUCCAGCACAGCCUUGCCUUGGGGCCUUCAGCUUAGGCACGGAAUCUUCUUUGGCCUGGAAUAGCCGUCCCAAAGACUGUCCCAUGAUUGGUUCCUUCACACCAUCUGCUUUAGCUCAGCAGGGCUUUCUCAGGAGUACAUCGCAUCUAGCCAAGCCGACCUUCCCGCUCUGUCAUGUCGGGCCGUUUCCUUGCCUUCUUGCACACAGCACUAUCUGAAAUAAUCUCCUUCCAGUCAUUCAGCACAUUCAUUGAGUGCCUGCUCGUAUGCCCUGUCUUAUGCACUUGGGAUAGAUCAAGGUACAAAUGCAACACCUUCUCUACCCUGGUGGAAUUUACAGGCCUUGUGAAUUACAUUGUUUCCUUUUUCAUCAUCCGCCUCUG